CCUACGGGAGACAGCAGUGAGGAAUAUUGGUCAAUGGGCGCAAGCCUGAACCAGCCAAGUCGCGUGAGGGAGGACGGCCCUACGGGUUGUAAACCUCUUUUGCCGGGGAGCAACGGGCGUCACGUGUGGCACCCCUGAGAGUACCCGUAGAAAAAGCAUGGGCUAACUCCGUGCCAGCCGCCGCGUUAAUUCGGAGGAUGCGAGCGUUAUCCGGCUUUAUUGGGUUAACAGGGUGCGUGGGCGGAUCGUUAAGUCAGUGGUAAAAUUGAGGGGCCAAACCCCUUCCCGCCAUUGAAACUGGCGCGCUGGAGUGGAAGAGAAGUAGGAGGAAUGCGGGGUGUAGCGGUGAAAUGCAUAGAUAUCACGCAGAACCCCGAUUGCGAAGGCAGCACGCCGGAUUCCGACUGACGCUGAAGCACGAAAGCGUGGGGAUCGAACAGGAUUAGAUACCCUAGUAGUC
rnacentral:rRNA from 1 species